AGCGAACGCUGGCGGCAGGCCUAACACAUGCAAGUCGAACGAACCUUUCGGGGUUAGUGGCGGACGGGUGAGUAACACGUGGGAACGUGCCUUUAGGUUCGGAAUAACUCAGGGAAACUUUUGCUAAUACCGAAUGUGCCCUUCGGGGGAAAGAUUAAUCGCCUUUAGAGCGGCCCGCGUCUGAUUCGCUAGUUGGUUGAGGUAAUGGCUCACCAAGGCGACGAUCAGUAGCUGGUCUGAGAGGAUGAUCAGCCACAUUGGGACUGAGACACGGCCCAAACUCCUACGGGAGGGAGCAGUGGGGAAUCUUGCGCAAUGGGCGAAAGCCUGAAGCAGCCAUGCCGCGUGAAUGAUGAAGGUCUUAGGAUUGUAAAAUUCUUUCACCGGGGACGAUAAUGACGGUACCCGGAGAAGAAGCCCCGGCUAACUUCGUG
rnacentral:rRNA from 1 species